rnacentral:tRNA from 1 species
GCUGAAUUGGCUCAGUGGUAGAGCGCGGGUGUAAGCCCGAGGUCUCGGGUUCGAGUCCCGUAUUCAGCG